rnacentral:rRNA from 1 species
AUUGAACGCUGGCGGCAUGCCUUACACAUGCAAGUCGAACGGUAACAGGUCUUCUGAUGCUGACGAGUGGCGAACGGGUGAGUAAUACAUCGGAACGUGCCCAGACGUGGGGGAUAACGAGGCGAAAGCUUUGCUAAUACCGCAUACGAUCUAAGGAUGAAAGCAGGGGACCGCAAGGCCUUGUGCGUUUGGAGCGGCCGAUGGCAGAUUAGGUAGUUGGUGGGAUAAAAGCUUACCAAGCCGACGAUCUGUAGCUGGUCUGAGAGGACGACCAGCCACACUGGGACUGAGACACGGCCCAGACUCCUACGGGAGGCAGCAGUGGGGAAUUUUGGACAAUGGGCGAAAGCCUGAUCCAGCAAUGCCGCGUGCAGGAUGAAGGCCUUCGGGUUGUAAACUGCUUUUGUACGGAACGAAAAGGCUCUGGCUAAUACCUGGGGCACAUGACGGUACCGUAAGAAUAAGCACCGGCUAACUACGUG